rnacentral:rRNA from 1 species
GAUGAACGCUGGCGGCGUGCUUAACACAUGCAAGUCGAACGGAAAGGCUCCUGCUUUCAGGGGUACUCGAGUGGCGAACGGGUGAGUAACACGUUGGUGAUCUGCCCUGCACUUCGGGAUAAGCCUGGGAAACUGGGUCUAAUACCGGAUAGGUCGAUGGUUUGGAUGCCAUUGUGGAAAGUUUUUCGGUGUGGGAUGAGCUCGCGGCCUAUCAGCUUGUUGGUGGGGUAAUGGCCUACCAAGGCGUCGACGGGUAGCCGGCCUGAGAGGGUGUACGGCCACAUUGGGACUGAGAUACGGCCCAGACUCCUACGGGAGGCAGCAGUGGGGAAUAUUGCACAAUGGGCGCAAGCCUGAUGCAGCGACGCCGCGUGGGGGAUGACGGCCUUCGGGUUGUAAACUCCUUUCGCUAGGGACGAAGCGCAAGUGACGGUACCUGGAGAAGAAGCACCGGCUAACUACGUG